GACGAACGCUGGCGGCGUGCUUAACACAUGCAAGUCGAACGGAAAGGCCCUGCUUUUGUUGGGUGCUCGAGUGGCGAACGGGUGAGUAACACGUGAGUAACCUGCCCUUUACUUUGGGAUAACUUCAGGAAACUGGGGCUAAUACCGGAUAUUAGCUCCUGCUGCCUUGUGGGGGUUUGAAAGUUUCGGCGGUUGGGGAUGGUCUCGCGGCUUACCAGCUUGUUGGUGGGGUAGUGGCUUACUAAGGCUUUGACGGGUAGCCGGCCUGCGAGGGUGGGCGGCGACAUUGGGACUGAGAUACGGCCCAGACUCGUACGGGAGGAAGCAGUGGGGAGUAUGGCACACUGGGCGGAAGCCUGAUGCAGAAACGCCGCGUGCGGGAUGACGGCCUUCGGGUUGUAAACCGCUUAAGCCGGUGACGAAGCGGGAGUGACGGUAAUGGGUAAAGAAGCACCGGCUAACUACGUG
rnacentral:rRNA from 1 species